ensembl:lncRNA
AUGCUUAUCAGCUCUCCGGAGGUGGCUGCUAUUACAGCUUAUCAGCCAGCCCCCAUUUGCGGGAGCAGCUCCUGCACGUGGGUCGAUGCAGAGUGGAAUGGCAGAGCUUUCCCCUGCUCCCCCAAACCCUCAUCCCAGUGCGUUGCUCAGGGCAGGUCCGAAGGGGUGGGGUUGUCCCCAAGGUGGGUUCGUGCCCCAAAGCCCCCCCAGGAGCUCCGCACAUUGGGAGGAGGAUUUGUAGCUUGCAAUUAUGCUCCAUUAAGGAGCGCUAAUGGGGUUGGAUUUGGUUGGAGCCACGUGGGCAGUAAGGUCAGGGCGGAACAAUAUCCUGUUGACAUCACUCCCAAGGAGCACUUCACCAAAAUGGGCCUUGCUGGAACUUCUCCCGGGUGCAAAACCCCAAACUGGGGCACGGCAUCUUCCUUCUCCCCCGUUAUGAGUGGGGGUGACAUCCGUUAUUUAUAUCACAUCCUGAGUGCCCAAGCAGCAAUGUGUGGGGCUGGGAGCAGGCGGCAGCCGGAGGUACAGGAGCAUCCCCUGAGCAGCACGGGGUGCAUCACCCUGCAGCACGCCGUGCCUUCAGGGUCAGCCCAGAGGAAGGCAGGGAAGCGCCUGCAGAUGUGCAGCUCCCCCGAGGAUGGUGCGUGGGCUUCACCCCGGUCAACAAAAUAAACACUUGGAUGCCUGUCGCUCUGAGCCUUGUGUCCCGCGGGCCGGGGUGUGUGCAGUUCCUGUUGGGUUUGGUGCCGGUUGUCAGUGUGACACCGCUAACAGCCCGCUGCUGGCUCUGGUUCCGUCCUGCUGCGCCUGCAGCUUUCAUGUUCCCCGCUGCGGUCUGCGAGGCGGGGUGGAGGGCUCAAAGGGAAGGAAGCGGGCGCAGCCAAGGGGAGGAAGCCGGCUGGUUUCCCUUCUGCGUCUGUGAGCACGUGCGGGGAGCAGGGGGAGCAGGGUGCAGCCAGAUCAGACGGCAGAUAGGGCUGGCAGGCAGCAGCCCUCUUUCCUUCCCCAUGUUCCCACUGGCCCUCUCUCUGCGUGCGUCAGCCUGCAGGAUGCAUAGGGCCGCGUGCUGCCGCGUGGCCGUGCAGUGCGUGACGGCAGCCGCGCAGGGGAGCUUCCUCCCUGCAGGACGGGGCCACAGCAGGGGCAGGGCAGCAGUUCCCAGCUAUUUCUGGCUGCUGGGGUUAUUUCUGGUUCUGCUUGUCGUCCUGUGGCUGCUCAGUUCCCCUGUUCGCACUCUAUGAUCCCACCGAUGCUCUCCAUGACCCAUCUGUGGGCCAUCCCAUGGAGCUGCGAUGCCCAUGGGGCUGUGAUGCCCGUCCCAUGGAGCUACAAUCCCAUGGACCCCAUAGAGCACAGGGCAGCAACGUGCCGCCCGCCAGCUCGCCUCUGCCCUGGCGGCUUCUAAAUAAGGAGCUGCCCUCCCCGCAGCUCAGGUGACACAGGGAUUAUUUUUAGCAGUGAAUGGAGCAGAGCUGAAGCUCUCUGCCCCCGUCAAGGGUACGGCAUCAUGUUGUGCUGGGGGGAUUUUCCUGCAUGGCUCUCUGAAUGGCUCCGUCACCACCUGGGGCUGUGGCACAGGUAGGAUGCUCUGUUGUGGCCUCUCUGCUUCUCCUCCUGCUGCCAGGUCCCUCCUGCUGGCUCUGGGCUCCGUUGCAUCUCCCACCCCAAAAGGCUGCAAACUUCUCUGCUUGGGCUGCACUGCAUGCUCCCUCCUGCAUGACACUGGGCAGCAGGAAAGAGCCUCAGCUCUCUGUUUUUCGCACAGGUUGGGGGCAAAGCAAGUGGGAAAAGGGAAGGAGAGAUGCACUAUCCUGGUGCUGUGCAGAGGGAAUACCCGGAGCAGCCCUGAAUGGAGUGGCCAUGGCCAUACCCAGCUCAGCACCACCUGUGGGGUCUGCCACGAGCCAUCCUCAUGGGAUGAGAUCCCACUGAUUCCAGCCCCAAAAUGAGCAGGGCCGAUAGCUAGGGGG